rnacentral:misc_RNA from 1 species
AUAGGUUCCGCUCUUACAGCGGGUCACUUUUGGAAAAGAGCCCAAAAAGUAACCCGCUGUAAGAGCGGAACCAUA